rnacentral:other from 1 species
AUAUCCCUGCGGUGUACGUCGGUGAUUGAUGAUUGUUGAACCAACACCAAUCAAAAGGGAGUCCACCUUCACGCUGGCCCGAGGGCCGCUGAGAGGACACCCACUUGUCUGAACGGGUUCAGACCACCUAGCCGACGGCAAUGCGGGGAUUUU